CCUACGGGAGGCAGCAGUGGGGAAUAUUGGACAAUGGGCGAAAGCCUGAUCCAGCCAUGCCGCGUGAGUGAUGAAGGCCUUAGGGUUGUAAAGCUCUUUCAGUAGGGAAGAUAAUGACGGUACCUACAGAAGAAGCCCCGGCUAACUUCGUGCCAGCAGCCGCGGUAAU
rnacentral:rRNA from 1 species